GGAGGAGUAGCGAAGAGGCUGUAACGCGCCGCACUCGAAAUGCGGUUGUCAUGGAAGUGGCACGUGGGUUCGAAUCCCACCUCCUCCGCCA
rnacentral:tRNA from 2 species